AAUACUUGAUAUAACAGUAAAAAAGAAGAAGCAAAAUAAAAGAAACUUCAGAUUCAUUAGAAGUUGCAGAAACAACAACACCAGAAAUUACAAUAGCCAUAAAUGCAAAAGAAGUAGAUGCAAGAACAUCAGCACUAAGAGAAGAAAAACUAAUAACAAAACAGGCAAUAUUAAGAAUCAAGCAGCAAUAACAGAGGAAUUAGUCGUGGGUCAAGUGCAAAAACGUAAAAAAUAAAAAAAUAAAAAAUAGUAAAAAUAAUAUAAAUGUAUUCGCUCAGAUAAU
rnacentral:lncRNA from 1 species